GGACCCGUAUUUUAACGGUUAGAAUGGGACUCUUAUAAAGUCCAGGAGAAGGUUCGAUUCCUUCCGGGUCCA
rfam:Microgenomates (Roizmanbacteria) bacterium GW2011_GWA2_36_23 TS11_C0002, whole genome shotgun sequence.